rnacentral:lncRNA from 1 species
AUGAAGCUCAGAGGUCCCCGACUUCACACCAGCAGGUCACCCAGGAAACCAAAGGAUCAGGAAUACGGAGACUUGCACGGAAGUAAAGCUCACAGUCCGGAGCCUGAAUCCGCCGGCGGCGCAACAGGGGCCAGUUCAGAGCAGGCUGGUCUCGUCUCCUCCGGCCACCGCCCUCCCUCCCGGUCACUUGCAGGCAAUCCCCUGACUCCGCGUCGUCUGCCCGGGAGCCUCAGUACACAGGGCAUGUGGGGCCUCGGUGACCCUGAGGUCCAGUGCGUGCCCAGGAGGAAGGGCAAGCACUCAACUCUGUCCCUUUCUGAUUUAUUUUAUUCCUUUUCAGAAUAAUGAGCCCUAGCCUCCGACCAAGGCCCAGUGAGAAUUCUGUAGUAUUCUUUUGAAUAAAAUGGAUUUUAAAGAUAUUUGGUAUAUUUUA